AGUGGGCUCUGUGCUGACAGCAGAGAGCCCAAUGUGGGCUCGAACUCACAAACCACAAGAUCAUGACCCGAGCUAAAGUCAGACACUUAACCGCCCGAGCCGCCCAGGCGCCCCAUAUUGCCUGGAACUUUAAUCAUGUGACAUUUCGCCAUUAAACAAAGAUUUUCGGCAAUAACACUAAAGUCCGUUUGCUCCCCAGGCCAUGCUGGCAGGCUGUGGAGAGCCAGGCCUCAGCGGCAGUCAGGCCUCUGCACCUCCUGACAAGCUCCUACCCACCCCUGGACGCAGAACUGUAUGGCCUUGGCACGCCGUUCACUGCUCUGAAAUGCUCUUCCCUCCCCUAGGCUGCCUGGCAAACUGCUAUUCAGCCACCAAACAUCCCCCACUCAGAGCCCCUCUGCUGGCCAUCACCGUUGCCAUGAGUUCCGGCACCUGACCCCAGGCACCUUACCUUUUUGUCCCAUUGCUGAUGUAGGUAGCGCAAAAGGAUGUUUGUCUUUUCUGUCACAAUGACUGAGGAGAAAAGGCGGAGAAAGUUGCAGGAAGAGGCUGCAGAUGGCCCAGCCCCCACCCCGGCCUGCGCUGCCCCUCCCAGGACAGGCCCUCGCCCCUCCCUGGUCUCCAGCCUGGCUCUGCCUGGGUGACUGCGUGGGGACUCCGAGUCUGCACCCCCAGCACGGGAGAGCUCGGGAAGCCUGGUGUUUUUGCUCCAACACACAGCUACUACCGGGGGCCUGAGCCGGCUGCUCCAGCUGGGCCCCUGCUUCCUAGGGAGCCCCGGGACCUCCGCCGCACUUGGGGCUCCACCCUCAGGUCGGGGAAGGAAACCCGGCACACGGGUCCAGGCAGACCAGGAACACAGACCUACCCAGCACAGAACCCACCCAGCAAGGUCCAGCUCCAGAACCACUCCCAGCGCCCGGAACGCGUACUCACCGAAGCUUUGCACACAGAGUCGGCGUGAAAUCGACUAAAAUUGCUUUUGUUGUAGACAGGCAGGCCUUUCAAAAAAUCUGCCUAGAAGACAGGGAAGAUGGUCCUCCCAUGACGUUUUCCAGAAUGCACCCUUAAGCUGGCUACCUGAGGUGCACACCGUUGGGACCAGAAGAAAGUAGCCCUGGGAUAAGUGAGCGUUCUCUUCUGGGGUCCUCACAACAGCCCUGUAACCAGCUGAGACGGGGGAGAAUGGAGGCUGAGCAAGGAACGGGGCAGGGAGUCGAACCCGGGCCCAGACCUUCCCUCUGUGCUUGCUGAAUAUUAAACACCUGGUCUCGUUUCCACAUA